GACGAACGCUGGCGGCGUGCCUAAUACAUGCAAGUCGACCUUAGUGGCGGACGGGUGAGUAACACGUGGGUAACCUGCCCAUCAGAAGGGGAUAACACUUGGAAACAGGUGCUAAUACCGUAUACUGAUGGAUGGACCCGCGGUGCAUGAGCUAGUUGGUGAGGUAACGGCUCACCAAGGCCACGAUGCAUAGCCGACCUGAGAGGGUGUUCGGCCACACUGGGACUGAGAAACGGCCCAGACUCCUACGGGAGGCAGCAGUAGGGAAUCUUCGGCAAUGGACGAAAGUCUGACCGAGCAACGCCGCGUGAGUGAAGAAGGUUUUCGGAUCGUAAAACUCUGUUGUUAGAGAAGCGGUAUCUAACCAGAAAGCCACGGCUAACUACGUGCCAGCCGCCGCGGUAAUAC
rnacentral:rRNA from 1 species